rnacentral:rRNA from 1 species
CACAUGCAAGUCGAACGAGCGAGAGAGAGCUUGCUUUCUCGAGCGAGUGGCGAACGGGUGAGUAACGCGUGAGGAACCUGCCUCAAAGAGGGGGACAACAGUUGGAAACGACUGCUAAUACCGCAUAAGCCCACGACCCGGCAUCGGGUUGAGGGAAAAGGAGCAAUCCGCUUUGAGAUGGCCUCGCGUCCGAUUAGCUAGUUGGUGAGGUAACGGCCCACCAAGGCGACGAUCGGUAGCCGGACUGAGAGGUUGAACGGCCACAUUGGGACUGAGACACGGCCCAGACUCCUACGGGAGGCAGCAGUGGGGAAUAUUGCACAAUGGGGGAAACCCUGAUGCAGCGACGCCGCGUGGAGGAAGAAGGUCUUCGGAUUGUAAACUCCUGUUGUUGAGGAAGAUAAUGACGGUACUCAACAAGGAAGUGACGGCUAACUACGUGCCAGCAGCCGCGGUAAAACGUAGGUCACAAGCGUUGUCCGGAAUUACUGGGUGUAAAGGGAGCGCAGGCGGGAAGACAAGUUGGAAGUGAAAUCCAUGGGCUCAACCCAUGAACUGCUUUCAAAACUGUUUUUCUUGAGUAGUGCAGAGGUAGGCGGAAUUCCCGGUGUAGCGGUGGAAUGCGUAGAUAUCGGGAGGAACACCAGUGGCGAAGGCGGCCUACUGGGCACCAACUGACGCUGAGGCUCGAAAGUGUGG